rnacentral:rRNA from 1 species
CAGUCGCCGCGGUAAUACGAAGGGUGCAAGCGUUAAUCGGAAUUACUGGGCGUAAAGCGUGCGUAGGCGGUUUGUUAAGUCUGUUGUGAAAUCCCCGGGCUCAACCUGGGAAUGGCAAUGGAUACUGGCAAGCUAGAGUGUGUCAGAAGAUGGUGGAAUUCCCGGUGUAGCGGUGAAAUGCGUAGAGAUCGGGAGGAACAUCAGUGGCGAAGGCGGCCAUCUGGGACAACACUGACGCUGAGGCACGAAAGCGUGGGGAGCAAACAGGAUUAGAUACCCCCGUAGUCCCUGUCUCUUAUAC